GUGAACGCUGGCGGUAGGCCUAACACCUGCAAGUCGAACGGCAGCACAGUAAGGGCUUGCUCUUACGGGUGGCGAGUGGCGGACGGGUGAGGAAUACAUCGGAAUCUACUUUUUCGUGGGGGAUAACGUAGGGAAACUUACGCUAAUACCGCAUACGACCUACGGGUGAAAGCAGGGGAUCUUCGGACCUUGCGCGAUUGAAUGAGCCGAUGUCGGAUUAGCUAGUUGGCGGGGUAAAGGCCCACCAAGGCGACGAUCCGUAGCUGGUCUGAGAGGAUGAUCAGCCACACUGGAACUGAGACACGGUCCAGACUCCUACGGGAGGCAGCAGUGGGGAAUAUUGGACAAUGGGCGCAAGCCUGAUCCAGCCAUACCGCGUGGGUGAAGAAGGCCUUCGGGUUGUAAAGCCCUUUUGUUGGGAAAGAAAAGCAGCAGGUUAAUACCCCGCUGUUCUGACGGUACCCAAAGAAUAAGCACCGGCUAACUUCGUG
rnacentral:rRNA from 1 species